rnacentral:rRNA from 1 species
AACGAACGCUGGCGGCAUGCCUAACACAUGCAAGUCGAACGAGACCUUCGGGUCUAGUGGCGCACGGGUGCGUAACGCGUGGGAACCUGCCCUUAGGUUCGGAAUAACUCCCCGAAAGGGGUGCUAAUACAGGAUAAUGUCUUCGGACCAAAGAGUUAUCGCCUUUGGAUGGGCCCGCGUUGGAUUAGCUAGUUGGUAGGGUAAAAGCCUACCAAGGCGACGAUGCAUAGCUGGUCUGAGAGGAUGAUCAGCCACACUGGGACUGAGACACGGCCCAGACUCCUACGGGAGGGAGCAGUGGGGAAUAUUGGACAAGGGGCGAAAGCCUGAUCCAGCAAUGCCGCGUGAGUGAUGAAGGCCUUAGGGUUGUAAAGCUCUUUUACCCGGGAUGAUAAUGACAGUACCGGGAGAAUAAGCUCCGGCUAACUCCGUG